GGUAAUUAAUGGUUUCACUCCAUUUGGUAUUUCAUGGUCCUGUGUGUGCCAGGCAUUGUGAUGGGUCCAUUAGAUAUAAAAUGAAGGUAUCAUGGACACCGAAUGAGGAAGAGCAGUCAAUUAAACCAGAAACACAAACUAAUAGUGUAGACAGCAAUCACAGUGAUUGCUUGAAAGGGGAAAUGCCAACCAAUCCAACUUGCAGUCAUGUUUGCACAAGUCUAGAAAUGCAGAAUGACUGUGCCUCCUGAAUUGGCAUAGUGAGAUUCAUGUUGUGGUUCCUCUGCACAAAGAGAGUGGCUGGUCUGGAGGAAAGCCUGUUUCAAUCGAAAGCUCUGAGUCUCAACACUGGACAUUCCAGGAAGAGUCCCUCAGACUCUGAAUAUGCUUCUGAAGACAGCAAGUAAAGGAAUGCUUUCUUAGGCGUGAUAGCUGAGCAUUGGGGGGCCCAGCAUGGGUAGCACACGAAGACUUACCUGCUACUUGCACUUAAGCAAACUAGAACUUUUCCUCGCAGCAGACCCUGACACGUUUGGAAAAAGGAAGAUCUCACGAAGUAGGGGAGCCUGGGACUCAGAGAGAGGACACGGGGUGACACUGAAGGUUUCCAUCUGACAAACAGUGUGCUUCCUUCCCAGCAAAUGGCGGCUUGAUAUUCCAUACAGCUUUAGUGGACCCACCCCGGAUUCUCCUGAUUGGUGGCUUCCUUCAUUUGUUCGUCCUUCUAAUCAUCCCCCACAGAAGAGAGGUCCGGAUCCAGGAAGUAGUAAGGAAGAGAUGAGUUCAGGUCAGGAAAGACUACUAAAAGGGUUCUCAGAAGAUUCUCCUGAAGCUGGACCUGGGAAGCUCUUUUCUAGGCUACCCGAGACAAGCAGAGGAUAAAGUCAAAGAGAGCACAAGGACCAAGAGAUGCCCGAACAAACUCGAAUGGGUUGUCGUUAGGUCACACUGCACCAAGAGGUGCCUGAGCCAGCCUGCAGCCUGGCCACAAGGAAACAUCUCAGCGGGAAUACUCCACAGCUGCUUGCCUCUGGCAGCUUGGCGGCAGGUGUUUCCAUCCACAUUUCCUCUCUUGUCUGGUUUCUAGGAAGUGCACAGAAAGGUGGUGGAACUCCCCAGAAUCCCUCUGUGGCUUCAGGAGAAGAAACCCUUUGGACCAAUUAAGGUCUAUUCUGGACAGCAAAGGGAGGGUCAUAGAGGAGGUGUCUGGUGUGAGUUAGUCCUUUGUCCAUUGUUUUAACCACGACAGCAGAGCCAAAGUAUCUAGCUGGAUCUGCUGCAGCUGUUCUGCUUCAGAAAGUGUUUUCACAGAGAGCCAGGGCAGGUGGGCUGAUAGGGACUUUUAGGAAAGCAAGGGAUGGAAUCAAAGCCCUGGCAGUGGGAGAACAUUGCCCUGGUAGCAGGAUGCCCCCAUUUGGGCCUUCCUACUGUGGCCAUGGAUGUACAUUGGUUCUUUGGAGAGUGAAUGGCUUUGGGUUCUAGCUGGCAGAUGGAGUCUGCUAAGGGAGAGCCUUUGAAGAUUUCACCUAAGCCCAGUUCUGGUGUAGCUCCCUGAUUUCUGAUAUGACGAGAUGGAAAGUACUGUCCAUCCAGAACAGAUGGAGUGACCCCAGCAGCUCCCCAUGGUGAUGGACUACGCCCCCUGAAACUGUGAGCCAUAGUGAACCUUUUCCAUUAAGUUGAAUCUGUCAGGUCCUGUGCUGCACGAACAAAAGAUGUAACUACCACAGUGCCUGAUCCAGAUGGUAGGUCUGCUGUCCUUUGUUCACAUUUGCUACCUUGCCAGAAUGUAGCCUAUACCUCUGUCAUCAGGAAGGGAUGAGUGGACAUGGGCAGUUUAAUUCUUGCCAGGGCCAUUGUUCGAUUUGUCACGGCAAUUAUAAAAGCCAUUGUCACUUUCCAAAGAACAAGGGACAGGCUGAAAAUGGAAAUGGAAAUAAAGAAGUGGUGGCUGUUUCUGCAGACGUUCAGCUCUUCGCUGUGUCCAGAAGAGGGGUGUUUAACACUGUUGUUGAUGCGCUGGUUGCUGACCUGUGAUUUACACUGGCUUAUUCAUAUUUGAAUUAAUUUUGUGAACAUCUUGCAUGAAACUAUUAAGGGAGACUCCCACCUAUGGUAUGAUAGGAAGUUAUAAGUUCCUGCUGUUUCUGGGAUGUCUGUAAAAUCAAACUAACCCAGGCUUUGCUGUCUUUUAAUAUCACUGCCUAUUUGUAGAUCAUGAUCUCUUCUAAGUCUUUGUUAUGGCUCAAAUGAACAACACAGAGAGCCCUCAAUUGGUGGAAAUCAUAUCUAAAUGCUUUUUAUUGCUGUCACCCUGCACUGAUCUCCAUUCUUAGCCAAGGGGCAUUUUUACUGUGGUUUUUAUUUGGUUCUUUCUAUUUUCAUACAAAAGAACCAAUGUCUUGGUGACUUCUGCUCAGCAGUAUUCCUUGUUUGCAAUGUCUCUUCACACAAGCUCACUAGAGACUAUGUCUUAAUAACGGUUUUUAAAAGAUGAUUGAACAUGCAGGUGCAGACUGAUAGACUAGCUGACAAGCAUUUCUGCUCUCAUUUCUAAGAUGCUCUGACCAGCUUUACCCCAGGGAGUGCCCUGCACAGCCUGAAAAGUGUGAGGGGGAAUAAGUCCUAUUUCAUUUUUUCCCAUCCCCUUUGAUGGAUGCUCCAUGACAUUAUGAUCCUUUGAACUAAUGUCUGGGAGAAAAAAUAAAAACACUGAGGGAUAAAUGAAAUGUCAGUUAAUUCUGUUAUGCCAUUUAUUGACGUGCUGGCUGGGCUCAACCAUCCCCAGAGGACUCUCAGGAGAGCACAUUUGAUGGGAAAUAUAGAUUGCGUGGUACUAACAACCCAACAAGAGUAAUCACAGGGCCUGCGGUUGGCAGCAGAGCACGUCAAUCUGAGUCAACAGAACUGGAGAGAUUCUUCUGCUCUUCUUCCGUUUCCUACAUGGUGACCUGAGAAGUUUGGGAAGACUGGGUUGAAGAACUUACCAUUGUAUAUAACCUGCCUACCAACCAUUCCAGGUCAAUCCCAGCACAAUAAUGAAGGUAAAAUCUGAAUUUACACACACUUGGGGAAUUUUGCAUAACCCAGUGAUUACAGUUACUAACCAAACAGUCUGAAGGAAGAUAUGUGCUCCUUGAUUGUUGCUCACCAUUCCAUGCCAGCUAGAGAGCUGGCAAAUGCAUGAGUGAAGCUUCCUUAUUUCAUCUCAGCACAUUUUAUAAGGAUUUCAUAUUGAUAAGGAGUUUCACAGUCCCACCCUACAAUGAAUAGGUGUGAGCAGCCGGUAGCUAAGGUGAGGCAAUGACCUCGAUUUGCAAAAGGCGGCCAGCCCAGAAGGCAAUACAGGUCAGCAUUGCAGGAAGGUCACAUGUGUCUUAGUGAUCACAGAUCUUCUCUGAUUCAGAUUAGAUUAAGGGCUUGAAGUUGUAUGUCUCCGUAAGUACAGAACUCAGAAUCCUAGGUUGAGAACUAGUUGGCACAGUACAGAUAAUUUAAACUCUUACCACUCCAAAGUGUAGGCAGGGUGGGGAUGGGGGUGCCAGCAACCUCACCUGAGCUCUGGACAGAAAUCCAGAGUUAUAGCUCCUGAGACUGACAGUAGCAACAUCCCCAGGACACAGAGAAGCACAUUUAAGUUCUGAGUUCUGGGUGUGCUGGUCUCAUCCAAUCUUCGUGUGUUAUAGAUGAACUAAAUCAUAGUAGUCUAAAGGAACUCUUCAAGGACACAAACCAGGUUCCUGGAGAAGCAGAAGCCAUCCCAGCUCAUAACCUGGGUCUUAGAGACCUGCAUUUGAAUAGCAGGGAGAUAAGGACCUCCUCCCCAAACCCAAAGUGGCUCCCCCAGGUGAAAUUUGAAACAGUGACCUCCCAUAGGGCUGAUGCAGGGUUGGUUAACUUAAAAUUUCAACACUCCUUUUAGUGGAUUUGUUCCCUCUCAUCAAAGGAGGCCGAGCUUGCCUGGUGGUCGUUGAUCCUGACUAUUGAUGGAGAACUCAGAUGCCCUGAAAAUGGAACUAUUAUGUGACAGGGAAUAGGAACACAGUUUUUGUACCCACUGUUUGGGCAAUGCUCACCGUUGUAUUCCUCCCGGGGGCUUCACUGCUGCUCCUACUCCUCCCGGACUGCCCUCCCCCACAGUCUCAUUGGCAGGCCCCAUUUGUCACCUGUCUCUCCCAGAAGCUUCCUUUGGUCGCUCAGAUUCUCUUCCAUUCCCAUCCCCCACCCCCCCAACCGUAACAGGAAAUGAAACCAAGACAUACUGAAUAACCACUUUCUGAGUGUAUGAUUAUGUACUUUAGAAUGAAGUUUGUCAUGCUCUUUGCUAGGAUAACCAUAAAUAAGAAAUAAUGCUUACUGAUUUUAGCAGAAUGCUGGAUGCAAGUUACAUACACAUUAUUUUAUUUAAUCUUACUUUUAAAUUGAUAUUUCAAAAACUAAGUGUUAGUGUUUACUGGUCAUAGUGUCUCCUCUGAAAGGGAGCUCACUGCAUGUGGUUGUGGUAGUAUUGUGUUCUUCAAAAUAUUGUGUACCCUAAUAAACUUAUCUGGGGUCAGAGAA